CCUACGGGAGGCAGCAGUGAGGAAUAUUGGUCAAUGGGCGGAAGCCUGAACCAGCCAAGUCGCGUGAGGGAAUAAGGCCCUACGGGUCGUAAACCUCUUUUGCCGGGGAGCAAGGGCCGGGACGAGUCCCGGUCCGGAGAGUACCAGGAGAAAAAGCAUGGGCAAACUCCGUGCCAGCAGCCGCGGUAAUACGGAGGAUGCGAGCGUUAUCCGGAUUUAUUGGGUUUAAGGGGUGCGUAGGCGGGCUUUUAAGUCAGCGGUAAAAAUUCGGGGCUCAACCCCGUCCGGCCGUUGAAACUGGGGGCCUUGAGUGGGCGAGAAGAAGGCGGAAUGCGUGGUGUAGCGGUGAAAUGCAUAGAUAUCACGCAGAACCCCGAUUGCGAAGGCAGCCUUCCGGCGCCCUACUGACGCUGAGGCACGAAAGUGCGGGGAUCGAACAGGAUUAGAUACCCCUGUAGUC
rnacentral:rRNA from 1 species